ensembl:lncRNA
CUCGGUCUGCUCCUCAAACCAGUCAGGACUCGGUGGAUGCUGAAGUUUCCUACGCUACCAUCAGCUACACCAAGACCAACAAUAAAGUUCAGGUUCGGGGUGAUGAUGAAGGUGAUGCAGUGACCUACAGCACUGUGAAGGCUCAUUCCUCUUCUCACUCGUCACUCUGAUCAGCCACUGCUGAUCCCAGCAGCCUCUCCUCUGCUGUCACUUUUCCACUCACAUAGUUCAAGUUGACAAAAAGGACUUGCAUUUAAGUUAAAGACUUUUGUUUUGUGUUUGCAUACAGCAGAUUGGUAGCAACAUGCUAAUUAACGUAAAUGAUUAGAUAGAUACCAUAAUUAUAACAAAUAUUUGGUUUCAAAUCCAGAAUCAUGUCUUUAUAUCCUCCAUUAAAACUAUGUAAAUAAAUGUAAAUAGAAACUUUUUCUUAAUUUUCUUAAUGAAGUCAGACCAGUGUGUUUCCAUAAUGUGAUCCAAGUGUGAAUAUCUAAAUGCAAACAAACCAAAAGCCUUGCAUAGAUAUUACUGAUAUAGUUAUAUGUUUAUAUUUUAUGAUAUUUCACAGGAAAAAAAACUUUUCUGCAAACAUUUUUGUAAGUUAUCAAAAAAUAAAAUUGGUCCUGGUUAGUGCAGCAGAAGACAUGUGGAGGUUGAAAUUUAAUUUAAACCCUGGUUACACUUGCUGUUCAGUUUAAUUUAAAUGCAUUAAUUUAACUAAGUAAUGAU